CUAUAUUUUAUCCACCUUUCCACAUUAGGAAAUCUUAUGAGUAGCUAAGAAAGUGAUCCUUAUAAAUGUAGUGGAUUUAACAGAAAAAAAUGGAAGGUUUGAAUUUCCAAAAAAUAAGACUUUUCUCUUCUACAUAUGCUUUAACACACACUUCCUUUAGGUGCAUUAGACCCAAGAUAUGUUUAAUUAAGCUGAAGAACAUGUUUAUUUUAGAUUUUCAUUGUGUGAACUAAAGGAGUGAGAAACUUCCUCUACAGAUGAUGACAAGAUGGAGGUUCGUGCCAAGCCUGCAGUGCAGACUCACCGGAAACCUGCUGAAACUUGUGACUUGUGGUUCCUGUUUCUGCUUUUCUGCUCAGUUCCACAGCGGGUUUGUGGUCUUGUAUCUAAUACAGUAAUGUCACUCUAUAGAUUUCCUUACGCAGAGAGCAGUUUGACACCAGAGUGUUGACUAGCUGAUAUGUUUACAAAUAAAUAAACCCACCAAAGUGUUCCUGUAUCGACCUUCUCUUCAGUAAAGGGGAACCUUUAUGAUGAUGCUACUCUCCCCUGCACUCAGAUGUGUUCUGGUCUGGUCACAUGGACUGUGUUCGAUAAACAACUUGACAUUCUGGAUCAGUGUAACCAGACAUUCUGUCAGUCAAAGGAGGGAUUUUACAUGUCAUAUGAUCAGUACCUGAAGGAAGCUCCUCAGCAUCACUGAUGUUGAUUACACUAAGAGGAACCGGUACACCUGUGAGUGUGAUGGUGUAGACAUCUGUGAUAUGGGUCUAUGGAUAGAGGCAUUGAGUUCUUCAGUUCAGAUCAAGCCCAUUGAAAAUCUGGUGCUGGAUUUGCCCAUAUCAGAGUCAGUGGAGAUUAUUUCUAACAGCACAGGUGCAGCUGCUCUCUCUAGUGGACAAAUCUGCACAGUGGAUGGACACCCACUGAAGUGUGAACCUGAAUACACUCAGAGAGCGUCGCUCAUCUCUGCUGUUGAGCUGAGAGGAACCGCACCAUCUGAUAGUGGAGUUUACAUCAUCAGAGACACUAAGAAUGAAGAGAUUAUUCAAACAUAAACAGUUACUGUGGAAGAAGUCCAGCUGUAUCAGAGCUCCACAGUGACGGUGUUGAUGGUGCUCCUGGCUCUGAUGGGGGCGGAGCUUGUGGCAGCAGGGCUGGUGAUUGUGCAGCUGAGGGAAAAAAUCAGAAGUGAAUGGAGACCGUAACCAUGACAACAGAGGAGUUAAUAUGAAUGGACUAAACCACUCAGAUGAAGAGCAGAGGUGAUCUCCCAGUAAUAACCAUGAGGAAGUCUGAGAGAUGAUAAAUGAUUUGGCUCUCUUGUAUACACACACACACACAAAUGUGCCCACAGUGCCUUUCUGUGUACCAUUCAGGGGUCAGAGAUCAGUGUAUGUUCGAUCAUACCUGAUCAGAGUUUUAUGACGUUAGCACUCCUGAACUAACCUGGUAGAGCAGGUACAGUAACAUACAUCUCCAGAAUCAUGGUCUGAUCCUCAGAGAGCACACAUAAUGUCAUACUGAUUAAUAUGUAUCAAUCACUAUAAGACCAUCUGCCCAGUACUGUAAAUGUAAUGGAAAGAUGUUUAUGUAAAAAUGUAAUAUAAAGAUGUUUAUGUAAAUAUUACUAUGAGAUCCUGUGAUCUAAUUUAAUGCUCAUGUAAAUACUUUUGUGUCAAGUCAUGGAAAAACAGGCAGUUUUGCCUGUAGCAUCUUUAAAUUUUCCUUGCCAAUUAUCCACAUCUUUUAUUAAAGAGUUUCAAGGACCAGUAUCAAAAUAAAAUGGUUGCAAUGGGAGGAUGGAGGGAUUAAUGAAAGGAGAGGAGAGAAGGAGAAGGAGUACACAGACGAGUGCUGUUGGUGUAAUAUGCAGUUUGGAGCUUGAGGUCCACUGAUGGGUCUCUUUGCCAAGCCUGGUGGCUGUAGCCUUCAAAUUCAGGAAGAUAAAAUGUCGUCAGUACAAUAUCUUCUGCUAGGAGUUGCUGAAUGUUUAUCUUUAAAAAUUACAAAUUUUAUUUUUCAUUCUUCUGUCAGCACUACUCUGAGCCAAAGAUGUUUUAAACUUUGCUCAUGAAUAUUAAUGAGGUAUUUAUGCUCUGUGCCUCUGUAAAGCCAACCUCUUUCCUUGCAGUGCCUUAUGGGUAAAAACCAGCCAUGCAUUUUAUUUAUUUAUUUAUUUUUUAAUCUCUGACAUAUAAUGUAAUGCUGUUUAUUUUUAAAUACAAGAAAUCAGAUUUUAUGGCACUUCUUUUGUUUAAAUGUAUUACUGUAUUUUGAUACCUGAUGCAUUGUUACCAAAAUAUAAUCUUUUAAAUACA